GGAAGAGCUCAAAUUUGAAAUCUGGCAGUCUUCGAUUGUCCGAGUUGUAAUCUAUAGAGGCGUUUUCCGUGCCGGACCGUGUCCAAGUCUCCUGGAAAGGAGUAUCAAAGAGGGUGAUAAUCCCGUACUUAACACGACCACCGGUGCUCUGUGAUACGUCUUCUACGAGUCGAGUUGUUUGGGAAUGCAGCUCAAAAUGGGUGGUGAAUUCCAUCUAAAGCUAAAUAUUGGCGAGAGACCGAUAGCGAACAAGUACCGUGAGGGAAAGAUGAAAAGCACUUUGGAAAGAGAGUUAAACAGUACGUGAAAUUGUUGAAAGGGAAACGAUUGAAGUCAGUCGUGUUCUUUGGAUUCAGCCAGUUCUGCUGGUCUACUUCCUUGGAACGGGUCAACAUCAGUUUUGUCCGGUGGAUAAAGGUAGUAGGAAUGUGACUUCUCCGGAAGUGUUAUAGCCUAUUAUCACAUACACUGGGUGAGACUGAGGACUGCAGCUCGCCUUUAUGGCCGGUCUUCGGACACGUUCGAGCUUAGGAUGUUGACAUAAUGGCUUUAAACGACCCGUCUU
rnacentral:rRNA from 1 species